rnacentral:rRNA from 2 species
AUUUAAAGAAAGCGUAAUAGCUCACUGGUCGAGUCGGCCUGCGCGGAAGAUGUAACGGGGCUAAACCAUGCACCGAAGCUGCGGCAGCGAACGUAUCACCCAAGACAACUUUACGGAGUUGACGAUUGACGGAGCGAAGCGACGUCAAAGCGUUCAUUAAAGUCGAGUUGGCUUAGGGAUACGUUCGUUGGGUAGGGGAGCGUUCUGUAAGCCUGUGAAGGUGUGUCGUGAGGCAUGCUGGAGGUAUCAGAAGUGCGAAUGCUGACAUAAGUAACGAUAAAGCGGGUGAAAAGCCCGCUCGCCGGAAGACCAAGGGUUCCUGUCCAACGUUAAU